GAGUUUGAUCAUGGCUCAGAUUGAACGCUGGCGGCAUGCCUUACACAUGCAAGUCGAACGGCAGCAUGAUCUAGCUUGCUAGAUUGAUGGCGAGUGGCGAACGGGUGAGUAAUACAUCGGAACGUGCCCUGUAGUGGGGGAUAACUAGUCGAAAGAUUAGCUAAUACCGCAUACGACCUGAGGGUGAAAGUGGGGGACCGCAAGGCCUCAUGCUAUAGGAGCGGCCGAUGUCUGAUUAGCUAGUUGGUGGGGUAAAGGCCCACCAAGGCGACGAUCAGUAGCUGGUCUGGAGAGGACGAUCACGCCACACGUGGGACUGAGACGACCGGCCCAGACCUCCGUACGGGAGGCGAGCAGGUGGGGUAAUUUUGGACAAGUGGGACGAAA
rnacentral:rRNA from 1 species